rnacentral:misc_RNA from 1 species
GUGAAUCAUCAAAUUUUUGAACGCAAAUUGCGCUCCCUGGCAUCCCGGGGAGUAUGCCGGUUUGAGGGUCAGUAUUAACAAAAAAUCGGUUUGGUUGCGAAUUGUGACGUUUCCGGAGUUUGGUCUAUCUUAACUUUUUUGGUUAAGGGGCUUAAAAUUUACCUUAUUUGCGCUCUUUUAUACUUACAUAAAUUUUUGUUUGAUUCGUCUAUUCUUAAUGCGAAAUUCUUACUAUAUGCG